AGGGAAUCCAUUCGGAGUACGCAUACCUCUGUCUCCAUCUGGCUGAUGGAUCAGUUUUCAUGCAUGUGUGAUCUUGUGGGAAGCAUUACAGGACCCUGUGACAGAGCCUUCCAAUUUUGCAUUUCAAGGUCCCCUCCUGGUAACCCACAGGAAUGGCCAAGCAUUUGCGGUGUACCUUGAGAUGACUGUGUCAGAAUCCAAGCGUGCCUGAGGUGUGUGGCCCGAUACUUCUUGGGAGACGAGCAAGAGAUAACAGCCUGGUGACAACUGGAACUUCCCAGACAGGCAGGAGGCCUCGUUCUGCACCUGAUGGGGAUUUGCAUUCCCAGAUAUGUGCAAGAUAAAGUGGAGGGCUAACACCCACAGAGGGAAUGGAAGAGAGGUGCUGGGUUGGGACUCCCCAGGAGGGGUUUUUGAG